ensembl:lncRNA
ACCUUGAUCCUUUUAACGCAGGCGUCCCAUAAAUCAUCUGUGCUUAUCAGAGCCCCUGUUGACCAUCUGCUGUUGAACUUCAGGAAGCCAACAGGAGCUGGGCUGCCAAUCAAAGGGCUGUCCCUGAUGGCAUAGUGGUCUGGCGGCCCACCCCCUGCCUGCCUCUCCAUCACCAAGCUCCAGGAACACUGCCUCCUUGCCAUUUCCUGAAUGAACCUGGGUCUUCUUUGAUGUCCCUUGAGGACAGCUCCUUCUCGUGCAGCAGGAGAGAUCCCCUCUCCCCAACCCUUCCUUGGAGACUGUCCUUGGCACCAGGCCCAAUGACCUCUCCUCCCCAGGCCCUUCUAGCACCUUGCCUGCCUGACUGCCCACCCCUCACCUCACUGGUCUUAUCUUAAUGAAAGUGAAAAGUGAAAAUGAAGUCACUCAGUCGUGUCCGACUCUUUGCGACCCCAUGGACUGUAGCCUACCAGGCUCCUCCGUCCAUGGGAUUCUCCAGGCAAGAAUCCUGGAGUGGGUUGCCAUUUCCUUCUCCAGGGGACCUUCCCGACCUAGGGAUUGAACCCAGGUGUCCCGCAUUGUAGGCAGACGCUUUACC